GAAAGCCGUAUGAGGGAAAACCUCACGUACGGUUUGAUGGGGGCAGAAAAUCAUAUGCCCUUUACUCUUGCGGAAAAUCAGUGGGCCAAUCCAUU
rnacentral:ribozyme from 1 species